rnacentral:lncRNA from 1 species
AGUUCUUGACUUGGAUCUUUCCACUAGAUUCUUGCACCUUUCAAUUUCCUUCCUCAUUUCACUAAGCAUUUCAUAUGUAACAUUAGGACAUUUACCUAUUCCCUUUCCUCCCUUCUGCAGCAAAUGAGCUUCAACUCUAGUGUAACUACUCAGUUUUUGCAUUGGACAGUACUUGCAGCGCCACAUAGCAUUCCCUCCACCAGUUCUAGGCUUCUCCAGAAUGGUGACAUGAUCCCAAAGUGGAGCCUUGAUGUCUGUUGUAUUUGUAGCUGCAGAUCCUAUGCUAUGACUAGCACUUGCACUAGCGCUGCUCAUAUUUGGAGAUGCCAUCUACUGCAUACAAGAAUACAAGCAACAAGAACUCACUAACUGCAGAUCGAGGGGGCAAAGAAAUUCGUCACUAGAACCACAAGAUGAGGAACAACUGAAGAAGGGGAUG